rnacentral:ncRNA from 1 species
GCUUUCGGGCCCCGACGACUUUGCCAUGAAGUGUCUGUCCCAUCAAUUGGCGAUGGUCGGCGACCUGCCUACCACGGUGUUGACGGGUAACGGGGAAUCAGGGUUCGAUUCCGGAGAGGGAGCCUGCGAAACGGCUACCACCUCCAAGGAGGGCAGCAGGCGCGCAACUUACCCAAUCCCGACACGGGGAGGUAGUGACGAAAAAUAACGUGGCGGGGCCCUUUCGUGGUCGCCGCGGGCGGAAUGAGCGCAAUUUAAAAGAGUGUGCGAGGAGCUAUUGGAGGGCAAGCCUGGUGCCAGCAGCCGCGGUAAUUCCAGCUCCAAUAGCCUAUAUCGGAGUUGCUGCGGUUAAAAAGCUCGUCGUUGGAUCUCGGAGGCGGCACGGUCGGGCGCGAUACGCUGCGGGUCCGACCGGCGAUUUCUCGGCCGUCCCUAACCAGCGCGCGGGGCGAGGUGGACUUCGCGGUCCUGCCUCGUUUUUCUCCUUCACGGGAGAGAACCCGCCGCAUUUUCUGUCUACCUUGAAAAAAUUAGAGUGCUAAAGGCAGGCUAAAACCCCGAGCCUGAAUAUUUCGUGCAUGGAAUAAGCGGGGAUGCUCUUUUCCGGAGGGCGGUCCGACCGACUGGCGACGUCGCUUUCGCUGUCGGUUUCGCCGGAGAGCUAGGAUUCGAGAGGAACGGUGGGGGGCGAGCGUACCGGGCGGGGAGAGGUGAAAUUUUGUGAUCCGCUCGGGACGACUCGAAGCGAAAGCGCUGGCCCCGGACGUCUUCCUUAAUCCAGAACGAAGGUGGGUGGAGCANAGACGAUCAGAUACCGUCGUAGUACCGACGGUAAACGCUGCCGACCGGGCCGCGGACGAGGCUCGAGAACAGCGGUUAUGGACCCGUCCGUGGCGGCUUCGGGCAACCUGAGAGUUUACGGGUUCCGGGGGUAGUAUGGUCGCAAGGCUGAAACUUGAAGGAAUUGACGGAAGGGCACCACAAGGAGUGGAGCCUGCGGCUUAAUUUGACUCAAC